GGGGGUCGCUGGUCGCUCCUGGAGUCGUCUCACAAGGCCUUUCCCUCCCUCCUUUCUCCAAAAGAGGAGCCCGCAGGCGACACACCCAGCACUCUGCGAGGCCCACCAAGGCCCUGAUUCCCGAGUCCUGGAGCGAGUUGCAGCGCCCUGGCUGCAGCUGACCACUGACCUAGAGAUGUGCCUUUGCGAAGUGGCAGCGCAUGGAGAAACAGUAGCGGGUCGCUGGGGCCAGAGCCGCCCACCGGGUAGCCAGGAGCAGGCCGGAGCGAGGAGGCUCCCGGGGUGAGACCGGGGCACCCUGAACAUCAUAAAGGACUCAGACCUUGGCAUUCCCGACGUCAUAAAGGACUCACACGGAUGCGGAAACCGAGACGGGCUGGAUGGAAAACUCUUUCCAGACAGACUCCGGGGCCCUCAACUGGUCUCCGACCUUCCCCUGCAACCUGCGACACCUGCCAUUUUCCCAUCUUAGGCUCCAGAAGCAGAAUCAAGUGGGAUGUCUUGGAAGAAAAACAAACAAAAGGCCCACUAGGUGGAGUGAAAUGGAUCAGGAGCAAUUAUGUUCAAUUUCACCUUUAAGUUUUCUCAAAAGGAGGAGCAUUAAGAAUCAGCCACCUUAGUACAUACUUAAAGGUAAAUAUUACAUUUAAGAAAAUCCUUGUUAUCUUAAUGUGGCACUGAGAAAAUACUAUCAAGUACAGCACGUGGACUAAGUUAGAACAUUAAAUACACAGGAUCUCUUGAUAGAAUUAUCCUCAGACUUUCCAGUUUUAAUCUUCUAGAUUUACUGAAACCUGAUCCUGUCCCCGCUGAUGAAACAUCAGAGGAAUGGGAUCCUGUAGGUGAAGAUCAUCAGCUUAUAAAAUCCUGUUGCCAUCAAUGGGGGUAGCAGGAAAAUGAUGAAGAUUGGUUAAGGGGCCAGUGGACUCAGCAUUGAAAUGAAUCAUGGACUUGAAGCCAAAAGACUCAGUUUGUGUCCCAGCUCUCUCAAGCAAAGCCCCCAAGUCCCAGUUUCCUCAUCUAUAAAAAAUAAUAAAAAUACUUAAUGGACAAAGUUGUGUGGGAAUCAAAUGAGAUAAAGUAUGCGCUGCAUAUGCCCUAAAGUCUUAUUUAAAUAAAGGCAUUCUUUUCAUCUGAGAAAUUGAAGAAAAAGAUGCCCUGAACAAGAAAGACAGGAGAAAAGAUUUUUUUUUUUUUUAAUGAAGGAUAAAAUGAUGAAAUCCCCCCAGGAGAAGAUAGUCAUUGGACAAAAGGUGGGUCAUUCUCACGUUGACCAAG
rnacentral:lncRNA from 1 species